rnacentral:rRNA from 1 species
UACGUAGGUGGCAAGCGUUGUCCGGAUUUAUUGGGUUUAAAGGGUGCGUAGGCGGCUUUGUAAGUCAGUGGUGAAAUAUGGCAGCUCAACUGUCAGGGUGCCAUUGAUACUGCGGAGCUUGAGUACAGAUGAGGUAGGCGGAAUUGACGGUGUAGCGGUGAAAUGCUUAGAUAUCGUCAAGAACACCGAUAGCGAAGGCAGCUUACUGGGCUAUAACUGACGCUGAGGCACGAAAGUGUGGGGAUCAAACAGG